rnacentral:rRNA from 1 species
CCUACGGGAGGCAGCAGUGAGGAAUAUUGGUCAAUGGGCGCAAGCCUGAACCAGCCAAGUCGCGUGAGGGAUGACGGUCCUAUGGAUUGUAAACCUCUUUUGUCGGGGAGCAAGGCCCGCCACGUGUGGCGGGAAGGAGAGUACCCGAAGAAAAAGCAUCGGCUAACUCCGUGCCAGCAGCCGCGGUAAUACGGAGGAUGCGAGCGUUAUCCGGAUUUAUUGGGUUUAAAGGGUGCGUAGGCGGAAGUGUAAGUCAGCGGUAAAAUGUCGGGGCUCAACACCGGCCUGCCGUUGAAACUGGUCUUCUUGAGUGAGCGAGAAGUAUGCGGAAUGCGUGGUGUAGCGGUGAAAUGCAUAGAUAUCACGCAGAACUCCGAUUGCGAAGGCAGCAUACCGGCGCUCAACUGACGCUGAGGCACGAAAGCGUGGGGAUCGAACAGGAUUAGAUACCCGGGUAGUC